CCAGCUGUAGAGGCAGUCCACUUUCCUUAACUUCCUCUAUCUUGAAUGCUAGCAACAACAAACCUAGUACUUAUGCAACACUCUUUCUGGUUCUUUCUCCCACUUUCCCCCCUCUGUUUUAGGAAUCCUAGAUUACACUGGGACCACUGGCUUUGAGAAACUAAUGUGACUCCAUUUUUGAGAAACCAGCCUCUAUCUCAGAGCAAAGCCUGUCCAAGGAAGGGGUUGUGACCCUUGUCCUUGGAAAAACCCACAGAGCACUCCUAAGCACAUACCUACCCUGCUGAGUUGUUUGUCUGUAAAUAACAGGUGAGGUCUUAGGCGCCAGGUAUCCUUGACUCAGUUAGGCUAGGUGAAGACCCAUAGCAACCCCCUAGCAACCACCAAUCAGCAUGAGACAGGGAAAAUAUCUGGGAUGCCAGAUGACCCCCGAGUAGUUUAUGGUGGUUGAUAACAUGUUGGGAAACCAUGUAGUUCAGCACAUACACCCUUUGUGGCCUAAACCAAUCAGUUCAAACGAGUUCGCCUCUUGUACUAACCAAUCACCCUUACCCAACUUGUUCCCGCCAUUGAAUGUGCUAAUCAAUGUUAAGAGUUGUUGUUUGAUUUUCCCGCGGUAUGGAAUGAUUUGCUGUGUGAUGUUGUGAAGCAUAGAGUGUCCCCCCAAAACCUAUAAAAUCUCACUGAACAAAGGACCGGGACUCACUCCCUGGGACCGCUGCGGCGGGAACGGUUGAGAGUCCAGGCUCGACCUUGCAAUAAAGACUCUUGUGUGAUUGCAUCGGAUUCGGCUCUGGAGGUCUAUUGGAGUCCCAUGAAUCUGGCAUAACAUCUUGAUCCUAGAUUAGCUGAUCAAAAGUCCCUUUUGCCAAG
rnacentral:lncRNA from 1 species